rnacentral:lncRNA from 1 species
AGCUUUGGGAACCAUUGCCAUGCUUGCUUUCAUCUUCUCUUGGCCAUAUCAAUGCACAUAGGAUCUCCUAGAAGCUUUAGACCUUGUGACUGCUCAAGCUACAAAUAAGAGAUGUUAGUGACAUAUUUUUGUGCUUUUGGUUAGUAAAUAAAAUGAGAAAAGCAAUAAUAUACAAUUCAAGUAUGCUUGGUGAUCUCAAACCAACUCUCAAAAG